rnacentral:rRNA from 1 species
AGUGAACGCUGGCGGUAGGCCUAACACAUGCAAGUCGAACGGCAGCACAGUAAGAGCUUGCUCUUACGGGUGGCGAGUGGCGGACGGGUGAGGAAUACAUCGGAAUCUACUUUUUCGUGGGGGAUAACGUAGGGAAACUUACGCUAUUACCGCAUAGGACCUACGGGGGAAAGCAGGGGAUCUUCGGACUUUGCGCGAUUGAUUAGGCCGAUGUCGGAUUAGUUAGUUGGCGGGGUAAAGGCCCACCAAGGCGACGAUCCGUAGCUGGUCUGAGAGGAUGAUCAGCCACACUGGAACUGAGACACGGUCCAGACUCCUACGGGAGGCAGCAGUGGGGAAUAUUGGACAAUGGCGCAAGCCUGAUCCAGCCAUACCGCGUGGGUGAAGAAGGCCUUCGGGUUGUAAAGCCCUUUUGUUGGGAAAGAAAAGCAGCAGGUUAAUACCCCGCUGUUCUGACGGUACCCAAAGAAUAAGCACCGGCUAACUUCGUG